rnacentral:lncRNA from 1 species
UCUAUGUCAGACACUACAUACAGAGCUAGUCACUUGUCUUCAGGAAGAUCACAGUAGAACUGAGUGGAUGAGUCCCCUAGGAAAAUACAACACCCAACAACAUGAGUACCUCAAAGAGGUGCAAAGAACAUUGGAAGUAUGAACCAAAGUCAUGGAGCAACUUGGAGUCAGGCACACUGGCGUUUGAAUCUCAAGAGGAAUUGUUGACUGGGCACCAGUUCUAUGCCAG